UACGUAGGGUGCAAGCGUUAAUCGGAAUUACUGGGCGUAAAGCGUGCGCAGGCGGUUGUGUAAGACAGAUGUGAAAUCCCCGGGCUCAACCUGGGAACUGCAUUUGUGACUGCACGGCUGGAGUGCGGCAGAGGGGGGAUGGAAUUCCGCGUGUAGCAGUGAAAUGCGUAGAUAUGCGGAGGAACACCGAUGGCGAAGGCAAUCCCCUGGGCCUGCACUGACGCUCAUGCACGAAAGCGUGGGGAGCAACAGGAUAGAUA
rnacentral:rRNA from 1 species